GGCCCGUAAUCCGGGUUGCGGACAGUGUCUGGUGGGUAGUUUGACUGGGGCGGUCUCCUCCUAAAGAGUAACGGAGGAGCACGAAGGUUGGCUAAUCCUGGUCGGACAUCAGGAGGUUAGUGCAAUGGCAUAAGCCAGCUUGACUGCGAGCGUGACGGCGCGAGCAGGUGCGAAAGCAGGUCAUAGUGAUCCGGUGGUUCUGAAUGGAAGGGCCAUCGCUCAACGGAUAAAAGGUACUCCGGGGAUAACAGGCUGAUACCGCCCAAGAGUUCAUAUCGACGGCGGUGUUUGGCACCUCGAUGUCGGCUCAUCACAUCCUGGGGCUGAAGUAGGUCCCAAGGGUAUGGCUGUUCGCCAUUUAAAGUGGUACGCGAGCUGGGUUUAGAACGUCGUGAGACAGUUCGGUCCCUAUCUGCCGUGG
rnacentral:rRNA from 1 species